rnacentral:sRNA from 1 species
CUGUGGAACGCUGCCAUCGGGUCACAGACACUGCCUGUAUUUCGUGAUAAUUUCGAACA